rnacentral:rRNA from 1 species
GACGAACGCUGGCGGCGUGCUUAACACAUGCAAGUCGAACGGAAAGGCCCUGCUUUUGUGGGGUGCUCGAGUGGCGAACGGGUGAGUAACACGUGAGUAACCUGCCCUUGACUUUGGGAUAACUUCAGGAAACUGGGGCUAAUACCGGAUAGGAGCUCCUGCUGCAUGGUGGGGGUUGGAAAGUUUCGGCGGUUGGGGAUGGACUCGCGGCUUAUCAGCUUGUUGGUGGGGUAGUGGCUUACCAAGGCUUUGACGGGUAGCCGGCCUGAGAGGGUAACCGGCCACAUUGGGACUGAGAUACGGCCCAGACUCCUACGGGAGGCAGCAGUGGGGAAUAUUGCACAAUGGGCGGAAGCCUGAUGCAGCAACGCCGCGUGCGGGAUGACGGCCUUCGGGUUGUAAACCGCUUUCGCCUGUGACGAAGCGUGAGUGACGGUAAUAGGUAAAGAAGCACCGGCUAACUACGUG